rnacentral:rRNA from 1 species
CCACGGGUGGCUCCAGUAAGGAAUAUUGCGCAAUGGAGGCAACUCUGACGCAGCCAUGCCGCGUGCAGGAAGAAGGCCUUAUGGGUCGUAAACUGCUUUUAUUUAGGAAUAAACCCCCGAACGUGUUCGGGGCUGAAGGUACUAAACGAAUAAGCACCGGCUAACUCGGUGCCAGCAGCCGCGGUAAUACGGAGGGUGCAAGCGUUAUCCGGAUUUAUUGGGUUUAAAGGGUGCGCAGGCGGGCUAUUAAGUCAGUGGUGAAAUCCCGGGGCUCAACUCCGGAACUGCCAUUGAUACUGAUAGUCUUGAGUUUGGUUGAAGUGGGCGGAAUGUAGCAUGUAGCGGUGAAAUGCAUAGAUAUGCUACAGAACACCAAUCGCGAAGGCAGCUCACUAAGCCAAAACUGACGCUCAUGCACGAAAGCGUGGGGAUCAAACAGGAUUAGAUACCCGGGUAGUC